UCUAUUUAUUGUUGCUGCCACCCUGGAGGAGCCCCAGUUUCUUCUGUAGCUUUCUUUUCUGGGGGAUCUUCCUGGCUCUGCCCCUCCAUUCCCAGCCUCUCACUCCCCAUCUUGCACUUUUGCUAGGGUUGGAGGCGCUUUCCUGGUAGCCCCUCAGAGACUCAGUCAGCGGGAAUAAGUCCUAGGGGUGGGGGGUGUGGCAAGCCGGCCUGGAUCCUGUCCUGGGUCCUCCUUCCUCCGCAGUCCCGUCUCUAUUGCUGGGUGUAGUGUCCAUGGUCUGGCCUCAUCUGGGGGCUCUGUCUCAGCGCCGUGCCCCUCGCUUCUUCCUCUCUGAAUUCUGCAGCUUGGUCACCAGUUUCCUCUCGUGCCCGCCAGGGCUGGGGCGGUUGGUGUUGGCAGCAGCUUCUCUCUUGGUGCGAC
rnacentral:lncRNA from 1 species